CAAUUCAUUUCCACCAUUGUAUUUUUCCUUUGUUACAGUAGUUUAUGCCUGAUUUUAUUGCUCCAAAUUUUACAUUUCUGACAGUUACAAGAAUGCCAGUAAGUAGGAAGCUUCAUGGUCGAUGAUGAGAUGUGGUAAUUGGCAAGCCACGACUUCAGUGAAGGAGCUUUCUAAGAAGUUAACUAAAUGGGGGACCAAUUCCAUGAAUUAAAUGAAGAUGUUCUUUUGGGUCCAAUGGCAAAGAAGAUGAAGGAAAAUUUGAUAAGUAUUGGGGUGAUCCAGAAAAAAUUUGGUAUAAUCAUGCCUCGACUUUGUGGUCUCAAAGCUAUCUCACAUGUUUGGAGUCACUAUGAAAGGAUUGAAGAAGGUGAUGAUGGAUGGUAGAAAGUAAUUAGUCAUUGUCAUCUUGUUUUAUGUUACAAUGUACGAUACUAAGUCCUUAAUGAGGCAUGUUGAGUAUUGUUUGGAGCGCAAUUUGGUGAAGCCUAUAAGGAUUGAGUAGUUGUCUUGUUAACAUGAAUUUGAACUAUUAGUACUAAGGUAUACCUGCUCCAUAUCCGCAGGCCUUAGAGUCAUCUAUUCCUUUACCUUUACUUCCUGUUGUAUUUUCAUUCAGAUAGUGAUGUAGUAGACACUUUAGCUUACUCUGUAGAGCGUAUGACUCAGUUUCACAGGUCUCGGGGAGUGUAUUGUUGAGAUUUUAUUUUCUAAAGUUUAUAUACGUUUAUCA